rnacentral:rRNA from 1 species
AGUGAACGCUGGCGGCGUGCCUAACACAUGCAAGUCGAGCGAUGAAGUUUCCUUCGGGAAACGGAUUUAGCGGCGGACGGGUGAGUAACACGUGGGCAACCUGCCUUAUAGAGGGGAAUAGCCUUCCGAAAGGAAGAUUAAUACCGCAUAACAUUAUCGAAUGGCAUCAUUUGAUAAUCAAAGGAGCAAUCCGCUAUAAGAUGGGCCCGCGUCGCAUUAGUUAGUUGGUGGGGUAAUGGCCUACCAAGACGACGAUGCGUAGCCGACCUGAGAGGGUGAUCGGCCACAUUGGGACUGAGACACGGCCCAGACUCCUACGGGAGGCAGCAGUGGGGAAUAUUGCACAAUGGGGGAAACCCUGAUGCAGCAACGCCGCGUGAGCGAUGAAGGUCUUCGGAUCGUAAAGCUCUGUCUUUAGGGAUGAUAAUGACAGUACCUAAGGAGGAAGCCACGGCUAACUACGUG